rnacentral:rRNA from 1 species
GGGAACUACGAGCCAAGCUUAAAACCCAAAGGACUUGACGGUACCCCAUAUCCCCCUAGAGGAGCCUGUCCUAUAAUCGAUAACCCCCGUUUAACCUCACCAUUUCUAGCAACUCAGCCUGUAUACCUCCGUCGUCAGCUUACCACGUGAGCGCUAGUGAGCUCAAUGUUCUUUCAACUAAACGUCAGGUCAAGGUGCAACACAUGAAAUGGGAAGAGAUGGGCUACACUUUCUAACAUAGACCACACGGAAGACUAACUAUGAAAUCUAGUCAGAAG